rnacentral:rRNA from 1 species
UAGUACGGCGAGUGAAGAGGGAAGAGCCCAAGAUUGAAAGCUGGCGUCUUCGGCGUCCGCAUUGUAAUCUCAAGAAGUGUUUUCCGCUUCGGACCAUGCCUAAGUCCCUUGGAAAAGGGCAUCAUAGAGGGUGAUAAUCCCGUACAUGGCAUGGAGCGCCCGAAGCUUUGUGAUACGCUUUCUACGAGUCGAGUUGUUUGGGAAUGCAGCUCAAAAUGGGUGGUAAAUGCCAUCUAAGGCUAAAUAUUGGGGAGAGACCGAUAGCGAACAAGUACAGUGAUGGAAAGAUGAAAAGAACUUUGAAAAGAGAGUUAAACAGUACGUGAAAUUGCCAAAAGGGAAGGGUAGGAGGUCAGAGAUGCGGCCUGAGAUUCAGCCUUGCUUUUGCUUGGUGUUUUUCCCAGAUUGCAGGCCAACGUCGGUUUUGGGCACUGGAGAAGGGUAGGAGGAACGUGGCACCUCUCGGGGUGUGUUAUAGCCUCCUACUGGAUACAGCGACCGAGACCGAGGACAGCAGCGUACUCGCAAGAGCGGGCCUUCGGGCACCUUUACGCUUAGGGCGUUGGCAUAAUGGCCCUCUACCACCCGUCUUGA